GAAUUUUUUGUCUACCCGACUUUACUGCAAGAAAGGGAUGCUGCUUUCGAUUUGGUUCUUCGUAUAAACGACAAGAUAAUACUGAACCUUGAGAGGAGCUCCGUACUGGAGGACCAACUCCACUUUGUCACAACCGACGAUGAAGGCGAUCAACUGGAGCUGGUAGACACGUUGGCCAUACAAAAGAUCCUGUACCACGACGCACGUCGCCAAUCGUCCGUUAGAGUGCGCCAGCAAGACAGCUUGGUGGAAGUGGACGGGGUGAUCAACAGCAAGCUGGGCAUAAAGCCUCUACCACACCGUGAACGGUCGUCGCAUGGCCAGCUGCUCCAUAAGGUUUAUGAAGUGCAAGGGCAUCAAAAUGGGUCGCUUUUUA